AAAGAAAAACAACAAGCUCUUCACAUGUAAAAACCAACUUUCAUCUAAAAUCAACUUUCAUUUUAAACCAACUAAAAUCAACUGAAAAUUCAUUUUCAAAAUCCUUCGAUCUCUCUCUUAUCUCACAAUCUCUAUUCAUCAUUCUCAUGAAAAAAAAACUUUCAUCUAAUAUCAACAAAAAGAUCACCAAACAAAAUCCAGCAAACAACUUGAAGAUCAACAAACAAAAUAUAAAAACACCUUAGACCCGGAAACAAAUUCAAUGGAUAAUGCGUCACGAAAAGAAUAUAUUGAAUAUGAAACGAACGGUGACAACAAAUUCGUUGUGAACAGUACCGACGAUGGAGGAAAUAGAGGCAGGCGGACUCGUCGGCACAGAGACGCGGCGGAUCUUCGUCGAAAUGUUGAAGCGGCACAAGUUUGUUGAGGCUGUUUGGUGUUCUUGCGUUUAGAAUCC
rnacentral:lncRNA from 1 species